CACUAUCGUUAACUGAAUACAUAGGUUAACGAGGCGAACCGGGGGAACUGAAACAUCUAAGUACCCCGAGGAAAAGAAAUCAACCGAGAUUCCCCCAGUAGCGGCGAGCGAACGGGGAGCAGCCCAGAGUCUGAAUCAGCUUGUGUGUUAGUGGAACGGUCUGGAAAGUCCGACGGUACAGGGUGAUAGUCCCGUACACCAAAAUGCACAGGUUGUGAACUCGAAGAGUAGGGCGGGACACGUGGUAUCCUGUCUGAAUAUGGGGGGACCAUCCUCCAAGGCUAAAUACUCCUGACUGACCGAUAGUGAACCAGUACCGUGAGGGAAAGGCGAAAAGAACCCCGGCGAGGGGAGUGAAAAAGAACCUGAAACCGUGUACGUACAAGCAGUGGGAGCACCUUCGGGUGUGACUGCGUACCUUUUGUAUAAUGGGUCAGCGACUUAUAUUCUGUAGCAAGGUUAACCGUAUAGGGGAGCCGCAGGGAAACCGAGUCUUAACUGGGCGUUAAGUUGCAGGGUAUAGACCCGAAACCCGGUGAUCUAGCCAUGGGCAGGUUGAAGGUUGGGUAACACUAACUGGAGGACCGAACCGACUAAUGUUGAAAAAUUAGCGGAUGACUUGUGGCUGGGGGUGAAAGGCCAAUCAAACCGGGAGAUAGCUGGUUCUCCCCGAAAGCUAUUUAGGUAGCGCCUCGUGAAUUCAUCUUCGGGGGUAGAGCACUGUUUCGGCUAGGGGGUCAUCCCGACUUACCAACCCGAUGCAAACUACGAAUACCGAAGAAUGUUAUCACGGGAGACACACGGCGGGUGCUAACGUCCGUCGUGAAGAGGGAAACAACCCAGACCGCCAGCUAAGGUCCCAAAGUCAUGGUUAAGUGGGAAACGAUGUGGGAAGGCACAGACAGCCAGGAUGUUGGCUUAGAAGCAGCCAUCAUUUAAAGAAAGCGUAAUAGCUCACUGGUCGAGUCGGCCUGCGCGGAAGAUGUAACGGGGCUAAACCAUGCACCGAAGCUGCGGCAGCGACACUAUGUGUUGUUGGGUAGGGGAGCGUUCUGUAAGCCUGCGAAGGUGUGCUGUGAGGCAUGCUGGAGGUAUCAGAAGUGCGAAUGCUGACAUAAGUAACGAUAAAGCGGGUGAAAAGCCCGCUCGCCGGAAGACCAAGGGUUCCUGUCCAACGUUAAUCGGGGCAGGGUGAGUCGACCCCUAAGGCGAGGCCGAAAGGCGUAGUCGAUGGGAAACAGGUUAAUAUUCCUGUACUUGGUGUUACUGCGAAGGGGGGACGGAGAAGGCUAUGUUAGCCGGGCGACGGUUGUCCCGGUUUAAGCAUGUAGGCUGGUUGUCCAGGCAAAUCCGGAUAAUCAAGGCUGAGGUGUGAUGACGAGGCACUACGGUGCUGAAGUAACAAAUGCCCUGCUUCCAGGAAAAGCCUCUAAGCAUCAGGUAACAUUAAAUCGUACCCCAAACCGACACAGGUGGUCAGGUAGAGAAUACCAAGGCGCUUGAGAGAACUCGGGUGAAGGAACUAGGCAAAAUGGUGCCGUAACUUCGGGAGAAGGCACGCUGGUGUGUAGGUGAAGUCCCUGCGGAUGGAGCUGAGACCAGUCGAAGAUACCAGCUGGCUGCAACUGUUUAUUAAAAACACAGCACUGUGCAAACACGAAAGUGGACCGUAUACGGUGUGACGCCUGCCCGGUGCCGGAAGGUUAAUUGAUGGGGUUAUCCGUAAGGAGAAGCUCUUGAUCGAAGCCCCGGUAAACGGCGGCCGUAACUAUAACGGUCCUAAGGUAGCGAAAUUCCUUGUCGGGUAAGUUCCGACCUGCACGAAUGGCGUAAUGAUGGCCAGGCUGUCUCCACCCGAGACUCAGUGAAAUUGAACUCGCUGUGAAGAUGCAGUGUACCCGCGGCAAGACGGAAAGACCCCGUGAACCUUUACUAUAGCUUGACACUGAACAUUGAGCCUUGAUGUGUAGGAUAGGUGGGAGGCUUUGAAGCGUGGACGCCAGUCUGCGUGGAGCCAACCUUGAAAUACCACCCUUUAAUGUUUGAUGUUCUAACGUUGGCCCCUGACCGGGGUUGCGGACAGUGUCUGGUGGGUAGUUUGACUGGGGCGGUCUCCUCCCAAAGCGUAACGGAGGAGCACGAAGGUUAGCUAAUCCUGGUCGGACAUCAGGAGGUUAGUGCAAUGGCAUAAGCUAGCUUGACUGCGAGCGUGACGGCGCGAGCAGGUGCGAAAGCAGGUCAUAGUGAUCCGGUGGUUCUGAAUGGAAGGGCCAUCGCUCAACGGAUAAAAGGUACUCCGGGGAUAACAGGCUGAUACCGCCCAAGAGUUCAUAUCGACGGCGGUGUUUGGCACCUCGAUGUCGGCUCAUCACAUCCUGGGGCUGAAGUAGGUCCCAAGGGUAUGGCUGUUCGCCAUUUAAAGUGGUACGCGAGCUGGGUUUAGAACGUCGUGAGACAGUUCGGUCCCUAUCUGCCGUGGGCGCUGGAGAAUUGAGGGGGGCUGCUCCUAGUACGAGAGGACCGGAGUGGACGCAUCACUGGUGUUCGGGUUGUCAUGCCAAUGGCACUGCCCGGUAGCUAAAUGCGGAAGAGAUAAGUGCUGAAAGCAUCUAAGCACGAAACUUGCCCCGAGAUGAGUUCUCCCUGAGACUUUAAGUCUCCUGAAGGAACGUUGAAGACGACGACGUUGAUAGGCCGGGUGUGUAAGCGCAGCGAUGCGUUGAGCUAACCGGUACUAAUGAACCGUGAGGCUUAACCUUACAACGCCGAAG
rnacentral:rRNA from 1 species